rnacentral:rRNA from 1 species
UGGCGGACGGGUGAGUAAUGUCUGGGAAACUGCCCGAUGGAGGGGGAUAACUGCUGGAAACGGUAGCUAAUACCGCAUAACGUCGCAAGACCAAAGAGGGGGACCUUCGGGCCUCUUGCCAUCGGAUGUGCCCAGAUGGGAUUAGCUAGUAGGUGGGGUAACGGCUCACCUAGGCGACGAUCCCUAGCUGGUCUGAGAGGAUGACCAGCCACACUGGAACUGAGACACGGUCCAG